rnacentral:rRNA from 1 species
CCUACGGGAGGCUGCAGUGGGGAAUAUUGGGCAAUGGAGGAAACUCUGACCCAGCAACGCCGCGUGAAUGAUGAAGGUCUUCGGAUUGUAAAGUUCUUUUCUAAGGGAAGAAGAAAGUGACGGUACCUUAGGAAUAAGCCUCGGCUAACUACGUGCCAGCAGCCGCGGUAAUACGUAGGAGGCGAGCGUUAUCCGGAAUGACUGGGCGUAAAGGGUGCGUAGGUGGUUUGGCAAGUUAGUAGCGUAACUCCAAGGCUCAACCUUGGAACUACUACUAAAACUGUUGGACUUGAGUGCAGGAGGGGCAACCGGAAUUCCUAGUGUAGCGGUGGAAUGCGUAGAUAUUGCGCAGAACUCCGAUUGCGAAGGCAGCGUACCGGCGCCAGACUGACGCUGAGGCACGAAAGCGUGGGGAUCGAACAGGAUUAGAUACCCGUGUAGUC